rnacentral:rRNA from 1 species
UACGGAGGGGGCGAGCGUUGUCCGAAGUUACUGGGCGUAAAGCGCGCGUAGGCGGGUUGCUAAGUCCGCUGUGAAAGCCCGAGGCUCAACCUCGGAGGGUCGGUGGAUACUGGCAGUCUUGAAGGUGGUAGGGGGAGAUGGAAUUACCGGUGUAGCGGUGAAAUGCGUAGAUAUCUGGAGGAAUACCGGUGGCGAAGGCGGCAUCCUGGACCAUUACUGACGCUGAGGCGCGAAAGCUAGGGGAGCAAACGGG